CUUUAUGAUGCAAGUGAUUGGUCACAGUAUGAGACUGCUACUGUCAGUGCUCUCAUGAUUUCGCCUCUUGCUUCAAUCAUCUCAAAUAAUCAGUAAAACCAAGAUGAUCUUUGAGGCAAUGCCAUAAAAAGGACAUUUAGAGCUAUUGUAUCAACAGUCAUGGACAUGAUUCUACAGACCAAUCAAACAUUUUGCUGGGAAGACAGCACACUCCCUAUCAUCUGGACUCUAUCAAGUUCUGUCUCGGAGACCAGGUCCUUCUUCCUGAUGGAUAGGAGCCCCUCAGGACCAAACUGUAGAACAUAAAGAAGGAAGACUGCUGAAAACACCUGAAGAAACAAAGGAACUGAGCUGGGGUGGGGCAGGGCUGAGCCCAGGCUGGGAAUGGUGUCUGGCCCGUGAAGGAUGUACCUGGAGUGUUAAGCUGCAAGCAAGAACUGUUUGUCCACAAAGAAAUUCUGCAACCUGAUUAAAACAACAUUUAGGUAAGAAAUUGCUGUAGUGGACACAGGGAUGUUACACCAUUGUGAAUGUGGAAGGGGAUCUAAGGGAACCUGAAUGGUCCAAAAAAGCAGAACCUAUGUUACAGUGUAUGGUGUUCCACACUGUGAAAUGGUUGGGAAACAGACAGAGCACCUCGAACACUUUCAGGCACUAUAAAGUAAUAAGAAGAAAAUACUUACCAGCUGCAGUCAUCUUACAUUGAGAAAUGUAAGCGAAGGUUGAGAUAUAUUUUAUAUUGGCCUGUGAUGAAGUUUCUCACACUGGAGGUGGCUACAGCUCUUUGGGAUACAUGUGAAUGUAGACUAAUGAAAUCCCUGAGAUACCAUAGCAAAGACCAGGACAUUAUAUGACUAUGAUAAGGAAACCUGCUAACUAUUACUUGAUUGCCUCUUUACAUUCCUAGAGACUUCAAAACUAACAUACAAAUGGCCAGAUUCUAGCCAGUUCCUUGUGCAUACACAUGGGAGGAGAAGGGUUCAAAGAUGGAGGGCUUAAUAACUGUUAUACACGACUUCAGCUUUACUUUAUUUCUCCCAAAGUCCACAGUUUGUUAAGUGUCAUUUUGGUGUCACUAUUAACUAUUUUACUUUUUCUGCUACUAUGACAAGAGAUCUGAUGUUACAAUGAUGUAUAACAUUAGAAGUUAUUACUUUAAAUUGUUUUAGUUUAUGAAAUUCAAUAAAGCACAUUUCUUUUUUUUAUUGUAAAACUGCAUUUUCC